UCAGCCAAACAUCAAAGAACACUACCCUCCUC
rnacentral:piRNA from 1 species